UCAGAAAUUCUUUUGCACUCGUGUGAGGUCAGAGUCAGACUGAUCUGUCAAUCUGAGCAUAGGAUCACAGUAAUCCACCUGUUUAAUGGGCCUUAUCAAACACUAGGUUUAGAGUUUGUGCAUGCUCUUUUGCGUUUAGUAAGAGUUUACAGGUCCAAUGCUGCUCCUUUUUGGUCAUGGUGCUAUUUCCUGAUUUCUUCUGCAAUCUUAUCUAACACAGGAGAAAAAUGCUUGAUUAAUCCAUACAGAUUGAGUUAACAAGACAACCUCUCGGAACUGCAAUUGUCAGUAAAAGUGAUUUUCACAUUAGCAACCCAAAACAAAUGACAUGGACAGAGCUGACCAGAUGAGGCAGAUCUGUGUAAAAACAGCAAACUUUACUUUCUACUUCCUACCAAACUUUUUCCCAGUAAACACAAUUCAACAGUGCGCCUCAUCAAAAAUCCUGUGAAUCUUGACACACAGUGAGGUUGUGUUGCCAAAUAUAUUAAAAGUCUUGAAAAAUCUCUCACGGCUUUUUAAUUAAACUCUAUAUGUGAGAGGCAAGAGAUUCCUUGCUUUUAUU